rnacentral:rRNA from 1 species
GACGAACGCUGGCGGCGUGCUUAACACAUGCAAGUCGAACGGAAAGGCCCUGCUUUUGUGGGGUGCUCGAGUGGCGAACGGGUGAGUAACACGUGAGUAACCUGCCCUUGACUUUGGGAUAACUUCAGGAAACUGGGGCUAAUACCGGAUAGGAGCCCCUGCUGCAUGGUGGGGGUUGGAAAGUUUCGGCGGUUGGGGAUGGACUCGCGGCUUAUCAGCUUGUUGGUGGGGUAGUGGCUUACCAAGGCUUUGACGGGUAGCCGGCCUGAGAGGGUGACCGGCCACAGUGGGACUGAGAUACGGCCCAGACUCCUACGGGAGGCAGCAGUGGGGAAUAUUGCACAAUGGGCGGAAGCCUGAUGCAGCAACGCCGCGUGCGGGAUGACGGCCUUCGGGUUGUAAACCGCUUUCGCCUGUGACGAAGCGUGAGUGACGGUAAUGGGUAAGGAAGCACCGGCUAACUACGUG